rnacentral:rRNA from 1 species
CACGUAGGCGGACUGGAAAGUUGGAGGUGAAAUCCCAGGGCUCAACCUUGGAACUGCCUUCAAAACUAUCAGUCUGGAGUUCGAGAGAGGUGAGUGGAAUACCGAGUGUAGAGGUGAAAUUCGUAGAUAUUCGGUGGAACACCAGUGGCGAAGGCGGCUCACUGGCUCGAUACUGACGCUGAGGUGCGAAAGCGUGGGGAGCAAACA